GAUGAACGCUGGCGGCGUGCCUAAUACAUGCCAGUCGAGCGAACAGAUGAGGAGCUUGCUCCUCUGACGUUAGCGGCGGACGGGUGAGUAACACGUGGAUAACCUACCUAUAAGACUGGGAUAACUUCGGGAAACCGGAGCUAAUACCGGAUAAUAUAUUGAACCGCAUGGUUCAAUAGUGAAAGACGGUUUUGCUGUCACUUAUAGAUGGAUCCGCGCCGCAUUAGCUAGUUGGUAAGGUAACGGCUUACCAAGGCAACGAUGCGUAGCCGACCUGAGAGGGUGAUCGGCCACACUGGAACUGAGACACGGUCCAGACUCCUACGGGAGGCAGCAGUAGGGAAUCUUCCGCAAUGGGCGAAAGCCUGACGGAGCAACGCCGCGUGAGUGAUGAAGGCCUUCGGAUCGUAAAACUCUGUUAUUAGGGAAGAACAAAUGUGUAAGUAACUAUGCACGUCUUGACGGUACCUAAUCAGAAAGCCACGGCUAACUACGUG
rnacentral:rRNA from 1 species